ensembl:lncRNA novel transcript, antisense to ERVK3-1
GUAGUUGACGUUGGUCAGCACGGAGGCCACAGGAUCCCAGCCCGGCCUUUGUGGGACUGAGGUGGCGCUGAGUGGGAGAGCAGCAGGCGAUGCGCGAAAGGCGGGACUUGGAGAUAAAUACUGAGCACCCACAACAGGCAGCCAGCACCACUGCAGAUUGGAUACUGCAAUGAUGAUAAGCAUGGCCUGCCUUUAUGGAGGUGAUGUUAUUGUGUGGGGAGGCAGAUGGUAAACAAAGAAGUCAUUUUUCUGAGAAGUUGGUAUUUAAGCUGAGGCCUGAAUAGAGCGAAGAACUCAGGGAGAGUUCUGGAUGUUCCUGUGGAUAACCUCAAGGAGCACGGGACCUGGGACAUGACUGCCCCCAGCAUUCCUUCUGGCGGCAGACAGAGUUUGUCAGUUCGCCAACAUCCUGCUUUCAUGAGAACAGUUUGCUGUUUGCUCACAGAGCCUCCAGUGGUAUACUGAGUUGGUCACGACCCUCAUUCCUUCGGCCUCCAACAUCUCCCCUUUUGUUUUUGCAUUAAUUGAAUAAAGGUAAUUUCAGGCUGU